rnacentral:rRNA from 1 species
UACGGAGGGAGCAAGCGUUACUCGGAAUUAUUGGGCGUAAAGGGCGCGUAGGCGAUUUGAAAAGUCUUGUGUGAAAGCCCCGAGCUUAACUCGGGAAGUGCACAAGAAACUGUUGAAUUUGAGUUCCGGAGAGGAAGGCAGAAUUCCCGGUGUAGCGGUGAAAUGCGUAGAUAUCGGGAGGAAUACCAGUGGCGAAGGCGGGUCUCUGGACAGUUCCUGACGCUGAGGCACGAAGGCCAGGGGAGCAAA